UACGAAGGGGGGCUAGCGUUGCUCGGAAUGACUGGGCGUAAAGGGCGCGUAGGCGGAUGGCACAGUCAGAUGUGAAAUUCCCGGGCUUAACCUGGGGGCUGCAUUUGAUACGUGUGAUCUAGAGUGAGGAAGAGGGUCGUGGAAUUCCCAGUGUAGAGGUGAAAUUCGUAGAUAUUGGGAAGAACACCGGUGGCGAAGGCGGCGACCUGGUCCUUGACUGACGCUGAGGCGCGAAAGCGUGGGGAGCAAACAGG
rnacentral:rRNA from 1 species